AAAAGUAUAGCUCUAACUAGCUCGCAGUAGAUCUUCGAAUGAGUUAACAUUAAAUCAAUUGUUACUUUCAUUUUUACAAACAUUUCUCUAUUACUUCUUGUUUGUAUUUAUAAUGUCAUCUCCUGGAUAGUUCCUUGGACAUUAAUGUCGAUUUAUUCCUUAGACACGUAUGCGUCAUCGUUUGCAUUAGACAAUAUAUGAUGUACCUACUUACUUAUUGUGUCAUCGGUUUGGAAUGAGUUGGAGUGUAUGGCGUAUGAUAGAGGAGAUUGUACGGAGUGGAUGAAAGGUGGAUUGAUAGGGUUUGCAGUUACUUUUUGCGCGUGUGAGCUGACAGGAUUAUUGAUUUGCAUAUGAGUAGGGAGCAGGCUAUGUGGUUAUGCGCGAAAUGUGUAAGGUGCAGGGUUUUAGAAGCUUGCAGGGAUAUUGUGUUGAACGCUGUGUACUUCUCAUACUUUAUUCCAACUAUAAUCUAACUCCGGCUACAUAAAAUCCGAGUUUCCCAGUGAAGCUACGUAAUUAAAUGCUUCUAAAUAUGAACUUUUUGUAACACGCUUUUACUAAGCUUUUAUUUUUUUUUUUUUUUUUUUGUUUCUAAAUUUAUUAUUCAACGUAGAACAAUGUUUUAGGUCAUACGUAGAACAUGGGUGAAAAACACGAUAAGUUUUUGUUUUUUGUAGAAGAGCAAUUGUAGAGUUCAUUACACGGAAGACCAAUUCUAUUUGUUAGAACUUUUUACUUGAUUUUAUCACCUUCUUGAAUAUUUAAGAAUAAAUUCCAAUUAAAGAGAGUCACGCAGAGUAAUAUUAAUUAAGUUAAACUAAUCUGAGACUAUUUCACGUUCAAAUAUUCCUUUUUACGACCAAGUAGCAAAAGAGUCAGAAAAUUAAUAAAAUAUUAAUCACGUUGACUCGACCGAAGAAGGCUUAGCCAAAAAUUAAGAUUUUCUAUGCGUAUCUCUCGGUAUGUAGAAAAUGAUAAACGAAUUGAUGGGAUGCGAUGGCCAGGCAGGACUGCUGAUUCUCUUUGUCAAAAUUAUAGCUCGUUAACCAGGGAACAGGUGUUGUAUCUGUGAUUCGAUACGCUCGUUUCAUUAACCUUAUUUAUUUAUUCAUUUAUUUAUUUAUUCCUCUUUUCUCUAAUUUCUUUUUUAUUUUCUUUCCACGCAAAGUUGCAAUGAGUCACUACCGGGUCGAACGAGAUUUUGUUUUAUGUAGGUCGUUGGAUUUAUUUCGUCUCGGGGCGUUCGUGCGGCGGAAAAAGAGGUUUUCGGCCGUGGAAAUUAAAAAAAAAAAAAAGAAAGAAAAAAAAACAAAAAAAAAAAAACAAAAAAGAGAAGAAAUAAAAAAACGAAACAGAAAAA